rnacentral:rRNA from 1 species
UACGAAGGGGGCUAGCGUUGUUCGGAAUACUGGGCGUAAAGCGUGCGCAGGCGGCUUCUCAAGUCAGGGGUGAAAGCCCAGAGCUCAACUCUGGAAUUGCCUUUGAGACUGAGUGGCUUGAGUACGAGAGAGGUGAGUGGAAUUCCCAGUGUAGAGGUGAAAUUCGUAGAUAUUGGGAAGAACACCGGUGGCGAAGGCGGCUCACUGGCUCGUAACUGACGCUCAUGCACGACAGCCGUGGGGGAUCAAACAGG